GGUCAAGCGAACAAGUGCAUGUGGUGGAUGCCUUGGCGAUCACAGGCGAUGAAGGACGCGGUAGCCUGCGAAAAGCCCCGGGGAGCUGGCAAACAAGCUUUGAUCCGGGGAUGUCCGAAUGGGGAAACCCACUCCUUUUGGAGUAUCCAUGACUGAAUACAUAGGUCAUGUGAAGCGAACGCGGUGAACUGAAACAUCUAAGUAACCGCAGGAAAAGAAAUCAACCGAGAUUCCCAAAGUAGUGGCGAGCGAAAUGGGAUGAGCCCUGUACUCUUUAUUUGUAUUGUUAGCCGAACGCUCUGGAAAGUGCGGCCAUAGCAGGUGAUAGCCCUGUAGGCGAAAACAGUAUGAAAGAACUAGGUGUACGACAAGUAGGGCGGGACACGUGAAAUCCUGUCUGAAGAUGGGGGGACCAUCCUCCAAGGCUAAAUACUCGUGAUCGACCGAUAGUGAACCAGUACCGUGAGGGAAAGGCGAAAAGAACCCCGGGAGGGGAGUGAAAUAGAUCCUGAAACCGCAUGCAUACAAACAGUCGGAGCCUCGUAAGGGGUGACGGCGUACCUUUUGUAUAAUGGGUCAGCGACUUACGUUCAGUAGCAAGCUUAACCGUAUAGGGCAGGCGUAGCGAAAGCGAGUCCGAAUAGGGCGUUCAGUUGCUGGGCGUAGACCCGAAACCAGGUGAUCUAUCCAUGGCCAGGAUGAAGGUGCGGUAACACGUACUGGAGGUCCGAACCCACUAACGUUGAAAAGUUAGGGGAUGAGCUGUGGAUAGGGGUGAAAGGCUAAACAAACCUGGAAAUAGCUGGUUCUCUCCGAAAACUAUUUAGGUAGUGCCUCGUGUCUCACCUUCGGGGGUAGAGCACUGUCAUGGUUGGGGGGUCUAUUGCAGAUUACCCCGCCAUAGCAAACUCCGAAUACCGAAGAGUGCAAUCACGGGAGACAGACAUCGGGUGCUAACGUCCGGUGUCAAGAGGGAAACAACCCAGACCGCCAGCUAAGGUCCCCAAAUAUGGCUAAGUGGGAAACGAAGUGGGAAGGCUAAAACAGUCAGGAGGUUGGCUUAGAAGCAGCCACCCUUUAAAGAAAGCGUAAUAGCUCACUGAUCGAGUCGUCCUGCGCGGAAGAUGUAACGGGGCUAAGCCAUAUACCGAAGCUGCGGAUGCGUGCUUGCACGCAUGGUAGGAGAGCGUUCCGUAAGCCUGCGAAGGUGCCUUGUAAAGGGUGCUGGAGGUAUCGGAAGUGCGAAUGCUGACAUGAGUAGCGAUAAAGGGGGUGAAAGGCCCCCUCGCCGUAAGCCCAAGGUUUCCUACGCAACGUUCAUCGGCGUAGGGUGAGUCGGCCCCUAAGGCGAGGCAGAAAUGCGUAGCUGAUGGGAAGCAGGUCAAUAUUCCUGCACCAUUGUUAGAUGCGAUGGGGGGACGGAUCGCGGAAGGUUGUCCGGGUGUUGGACGUCCCGGUCGCUGCAUUGGAGAAGGCGCUUAGGCAAAUCCGGGCGCAGGAUUCAAGGGUGUGGCGCGAGCGACUUCGGUCGCGAAGCAAUUGGAAGUGGUUCCAAGAAAAGCCUCUAAGCUUCAGUCUAACGAUGACCGUACCGCAAACCGACACAGGUGGGCGAGAUGAGUAUUCUAAGGCGCUUGAGAGAACUCGGGAGAAGGAACUCGGCAAAUUGGUACCGUAACUUCGGGAUAAGGUACGCCCUUGUAGCUUGACUGGCCUGCGCCAGGAGGGUGAAGGGGUUGCAAUAAACUGGUGGCUGCGACUGUUUAAUAAAAACACAGCACUCUGCAAACACGAAAGUGGACGUAUAGGGUGUGACGCCUGCCCGGUGCCGGAAGAUUAAAUGAUGGGGUGCAAGCUCUUGAUUGAAGUCCCGGUAAACGGCGGCCGUAACUAUAACGGUCCUAAGGUAGCGAAAUUCCUUGUCGGGUAAGUUCCGACCUGCACGAAUGGCGUAACGAUGGCCACACUGUCUCCUCCCGAGACUCAGCGAAGUUGAAGUGUUUGUGAUGAUGCAAUCUACCCGCGGCUAGACGGAAAGACCCCAUGAACCUUUACUGUAGCUUUGCAUUGGACUUUGAACCGAUCUGUGUAGGAUAGGUGGGAGGCUAUGAAACCGGAACGCUAGUUUCGGUGGAGCCGUCCUUGAAAUACCACCCUGGUUUGUUUGAGGUUCUAACCUUGGCCCGUGAUCCGGGUCGGGGACAGUGCAUGGUAGGCAGUUUGACUGGGGCGGUCUCCUCCCAAAGGGUAACGGAGGAGUACGAAGGUACGCUAGGUACGGUCGGAAAUCGUGCUGAUAGUGCAAUGGCAUAAGCGUGCUUAACUGCGAGACCGACAAGUCGAGCAGGUGCGAAAGCAGGUCAUAGUGAUCCGGUGGUUCUGUAUGGAAGGGCCAUCGCUCAACGGAUAAAAGGUACUCUGGGGAUAACAGGCUGAUACCGCCCAAGAGUUCAUAUCGACGGCGGUGUUUGGCACCUCGAUGUCGGCUCAUCUCAUCCUGGGGCUGUAGCCGGUCCCAAGGGUAUGGCUGUUCGCCAUUUAAAGAGGUACGUGAGCUGGGUUUAAAACGUCGUGAGACAGUUUGGUCCCUAUCUGCCGUGGGCGUUGGAUAUUUGAAGGGGGCUGCUCCUAGUACGAGAGGACCGGAGUGGACGAACCUCUGGUGUACCGGUUGUGACGCCAGUCGCAUCGCCGGGUAGCUAUGUUCGGAAGAGAUAACCGCUGAAAGCAUCUAAGCGGGAAACUCGCCUUAAGAUGAGAUAUCCCUGGAGGCUUGACCUCCUUGAAGGGUCGUUCGAGACCAGGACGUUGAUAGGUCGGGUGUGUAAGCGCAGUAAUGCGUUCAGCUAACCGAUACUAAUUGCCCGUAAGGCUUGAUCCU
rnacentral:rRNA from 1 species